AGCCGCCGCGGGAAUACAGAGGGUGCAAGCGUUAAUCGGAAUUACUGGGCGUAAAGCGCGCGUAGGUGGUUUGUUAAGUUGGAUGUGAAAUCCCCGGGCUCAACCUGGGAACUGCAUCCAAAACUGGCAAGCUAGAGUAUGGUAGAGGGUGGUGGAAUUUCCUGUGUAGCGGUGAAAUGCGUAGAUAUAGGAAGGAACACCAGUGGCGAAGGCGACCACCUGGACUGAUACUGACACUGAGGUGCGAAAGCGUGGGGAGCAAACAGGAUUAGAUACCCGCGUAGUCCCUGUCUCUUAUACA
rnacentral:rRNA from 1 species